UGGAAGUAAAAAAUGGUAACAAGGUUUCCGUAGGUGAACCUGCGGAAGGAUCAUUA
rnacentral:rRNA from 1 species